UUGCCUUACAUGGGCAUAGGCGACAUCUGGAUAAGACUGUAACAUCUGUAGUACUUAGCCAAUGAGGAACCAGGGGAGGGACUUGCACUCUAGGAGAUAAAUUGCCUGCUGUAACUGCCCCGAGUGUGCCUGUCUAUCAGACACCUGCUUUUGCUAGAACGUUGAUUAAAACCUCGCUUCACUGUGCUCCAAGUCUCUGCAUCCCUCCUUUGAUUGGAUCAGUGAACUUAUUGUUCACAUUUGGGGGCUCGUCCGGGAUUGAUCUUGACCUGUGGGGUCCAGGUCCUGUGAGAUGGGAGACACAGCCCACUCCAGUUUGUGUGGCCUUUCCAUGGGAGGGCCCCUGCGGGAUCUGUGGAGUUCCAGACUUUUUCCUUUGGAGACAGAAGAAGUGACGCUGGGGAAAGAGUGAAAGAGAGGCACCACGGAGACCUGAUAACUUUGUGCAAGGACCAAGAGGUGAAAUUCACAUAACGUAAAAGCAACCAUUUUAAAGUGAGCUGUUCAGCGGUAUUUAGGGCAUUUCCACAGUCAGACAACUCUGUCUGGUCCCCAGACGUUUUCAAUGCCUCGAAAGUGGAAACUCGCCUGUUCUGCCUUGUAUCAUCACCUCCUGGGCAAAGCCAUGUGGAAUGCACACAAAGUAGUGAAUGGAGUUGUAAGCGAGCUGCAGAUGAGGGGCAA